GUCUAAUGCCAUACCACCGUGAACAUGCUUGAUCUCGUCUGAUCUCAGAAACUAAGCAGGGUCGGGCCUGGUUAGUACUUGGAUGGGAGACCAGUGAUUUUUUUUU
rnacentral:rRNA from 1 species